AAGUAGUGAGUUAUCUGCCCUUGAUCUUCCGCUUGGUGGCAGCACUUGCCGGUCCUCGACUUUGUCAAGAAAGCAUGGUGUAAAACGUUACCACGAAAUAUGUUCGGUAGUCUAACUAUUAUUCAGUUGAAGGCUGAAUUAAAGAAGCGAAAUGCCAAACAGACGGGAAGAAAGAAGGAACUGGUUGAAAGACUUGAAGCAUAUAUGAAAGAAACAAAAACUUUGGCCAGACAGAUGUUUGCGGACCAGACUUUUAUAUGCUGAUUCCAGAUUCAGUCUGUUUCAGAGACAUCAAUUCAGACACAGAAUUUUGUUAUUUAACAAUAGACACUGUAAAAUAUUAUUUGCAACAGUUUGACAAGGAAUUGGACAUUAAAACAGUAAAGACAUUCUACAAUGAAAAAAUUGUUAUCUUCCUCCGUGUAGGCAAGGAUGGAGAUAAAUUCUUUGUCAAGAGCUGUUGCCAUGCAGAAAUGAAAAAAGGUGUUACCUAUAUGGUAGAUAUAGCCUUGAGUAGUGAUGGUGAUAUCAACGAAACUCAGUGCGAGUGUGCGGCUGGCAUGGGCCCAAAUGCCCAUUGUAAACAUGUGUGCACAGUGUUGUAUGCUGUGAACAUUUUUUGUUCUACAAAAACUGUUAUUACUGAGGAAACAUGUACUCAAAAAUUGCAGACAUUCCACCAUUGUAAAAAGUUUGUAGGCAGUCCACUGAAAGCCAAGCAGAUGAAUUUACCUCGCGCCGACGAGUUCACAAACAUGGAUUUUGAUCCUCGGCCAGCCAACUUGCGAAACAACCCUGGGUACUCUGAUUUUUUCCGGAAUCAUUGCUUAAAUUUUUCGGGAAUUUCAAAAAUGCCCAUUUUCCAACUGCUAACAGUUAUGCAGUGGCACUGGACCAUGACUACUUGGAAUUGACCCCACAGGACAGUUAUUUGGAAGCAAUAUUUGUAUCUAAAAUAACAGAAGAUGAGAUUAAGAAUAUUGAGAAGCAAACCUGUGGUCAGGGGAAAAAUCCACUCUUGGCAGAUGAGCGGACCAAACGUCUGACAUCGUCAAACUUCGGCAGGAUUUGCAAAGCAACCGACCGCACAAAUAAAAACAAACUGGCAAAGUCGAUGGUGACUGUUACAAGUGUUAAGGCACCGUCUCUUACACACGGUUUGAAAUAUGAGCAUGUAGCACUUUCCAAAUAUAUGUCAUUAUCUGGAAAUGUAGUGAAUAAUUGUGGAGUUGUUGUAUCAAAGGACUACCCCUUUUUGUCCAGCUCGCCAGAUGGGAAAAUAGACAGUCUACAGAUCGUAGAAGUGAAAUGCCCAUACACUGCGAAAGAUAAAUUAAUAUCCUCAGUCACUGUACCUUACUUAAAGAUGGAUACAAACUCAAAGUACUAUUUGGAAGAAAAACAUGACUACUAUUACCAAAUACAGGGUCAGUUACUUUGUACAGGAGCACAGGAUUGUGUGUUCAUUGUCUACACGAUAGCUGACAUCCUAUAUUUCAAAGUGUCAUGGAAUGAUGAUUUCAUUAACAAAAUGGUGUCAGAGUUACAGGACUUUUUUGAAAACUAUUUCAAAAAAACUUUAUUAGAAAAACGGUUUUACAAAUCAUACACUGAAUAGGCAGCAGAUUCUUCAAUGCCUAACAGUAGUGUUUCUAGGAAGUCCAAACCUAGAAAAGGGUCCGACCCAAAUCGUACAUGUAUUCAUAAUUUUCUCACAUCUAAGAUAAUUGUAAUUGUUUGAAUGUAUAAUUCAAAGAUUCUGUUAUUUUUGACAUUGUGAUUUAAACUGUACAGUGUAUGUUUACAUGUAGUAGAUGUACUAUUACAAGUAUUUAUGUGUGUGUGUGUGUAUAGACAUGUUGAGUUUUCAUCUAUUUUAUUUUUGUGGCAGAAUAAUAUUGCAACAUAACAAAUUGAUGAGAGAGUUUGAAGUCUGAUAAUAUUUAUGGGAGAGAAUACAUGUAUACAAUAUACAGUAUGCAAUGCAGCAAGAACAUUUAUGCAUUACAUGACACAAUGCAUGUUCUAAAAUUACACAACAUGUAACAGAUGAAAACAAUAUCAGAUGAUAAUUUUGUCUCUGUGCUGGUCAAAGGAUUACACAGAAUUUUGUAUGUUUUUCCCAAUCCAAUAAUUCGCUCAAUGUGUACUCGUUUACUUGAAAUCUUUCUGUCCUUCAUUACUAUGUUUCCACUCAUUCUAUUUUUUUUUCUGAAAAAUGUUGGAAUAUUUAUAGCAACAUUAAUAGGUGCAAAUAAAUCUUGAACAUUAAAUCCUUUGUCAGCCAUUAUUGAGUCGCCAGGAUCAACACAGGACAAUAAAUUACUUCGUUCUACUAUCUGUCUGUCACUGGUGGAACCACCAUAAGUGGGUGAUAUAUAGGAAAUGAGUCCGCCAGGUGAAGCACCAAUAAGGGUUUUCACUGUGUUCCGAUUCUUAUAUGUAGAAAAUGUGGAUUGUUGAGCUCUUGGAGGCUUGGGUUUCUUGACGGGGCAUUCAGUACCAUCUAUAACAAGCCUUGUUGUGGGAAACUUGGAUUUGAAAUCUGAUGGGGAGAAAUGUUUAACUAGAUUUUGUGGCGGCCAAAUAUUGAUUUCGCGCCACUGCUUCGACACAAAUGAAAUCCACGUGAAAACUAUAUUUUUCACACCUGCCUCUGAAAUUCCAAACAUUAAUGACAUUUCAAAGUAAGUUUGAUGCCUUCUCAAUUUCAUGAGCAUCAUGAAGAAUUGGUUAGGAACAGAAAUGUUAAGUACAUUGUGGUAUAUAUAUAUUUUAGACAAAAUGCUGCUGGUCCAAGAGACUUCAAAACAAAAAUAAACUUUACAUAACAUUCUAGUCCAGUAUAAAAAUGGAUGGCCUUGUCAUCUGUAAUAAAGUCUGUAAUAUCAAACUUUUGUUUCUCAGUACAAGUUUGUGUUGAGCAGUCUGUUGUUAUAUCAUCAGCUGGUAUACAUGUGGCAUCAAUAUCCAGUCGAGGAUGUUUGUCUGAAGUAACAAUCUCUUCGCCAUAUUCGAUAUACUCAAAUUCUUUUUCCAUCUCAUAUUUGGCCUCGAAGUCCUUUUUUCGUUUUUGCGACUCCCUCUCUUUUGAUCUCAGUUGUCGAUCAAUCUGACUAGCUGUGUCAGGUCUUGUCCAUUCAAAUUGGCUUGGGAUUGCUGUUGAAAGCAGCUUCAUCUUAAGUGGUUUUUAUCCUGAAAUGAGAACAAACAUCUAAAGUGUAAUAACUAUUUUUUAAAUUUUAUUUGGAUUUCUAAAUGUCAACAACUGCAUCUGUACAUACAUUUCUAUUAACAAUGCUUAAAAUGUUGUUUUAGUGUAUUUGUGUAUAUACAUAUGGGAAGAGUUAAUGUUAUGGGGUAAAUUUUGAUUACUAAUAUUUAUUUCAAAUGGGCAAAUUUUAUAGGCAACAUGUCUUUAUAAUGAGCUGUUGUGUUUGUAUAUUUUUAUUAUUAUUAUUAUUUAUGUUGUAAAUUAGUGUAAUAUAAUUGUAUUGUGAUGUAGUUUCUGUUUAAAAACAUGUAAUAAAGUGUUAACUUGU